CGUUUGGCGCUCUGAUUGGCUGGCGCAAAUGAUCCAACCAUUCGUAGUGCCGAACUUG
rnacentral:precursor_RNA from 1 species